rnacentral:rRNA from 1 species
AUUGAACGCUGGCGGCAUGCUUUACACAUGCAAGUCGAACGGUAACAGGCCGCAAGGUGCUGACGAGUGGCGAACGGGUGAGUAAUGCAUCGGAACGUGCCCAGUCGUGGGGGAUAACGCAGCGAAAGCUGUGCUAAUACCGCAUACGAUCUAUGGAUGAAAGCGGGGGACCGUAAGGCCUCGCGCGAUUGGAGCGGCCGAUGUCAGAUUAGGUAGUUGGUGGGGUAAAGGCCUACCAAGCCGACGAUCUGUAGCUGGUCUGAGAGGACGACCAGCCACACUGGGACUGAGACACGGCCCAGACUCCUACGGGAGGCAGCAGUGGGGAAUUUUGGACAAUGGGCGCAAGCCCGAUCCAGCAAUGCCGCGUGCAGGAAGAAGGCCUUCGGGUUGUAAACUGCUUUUGUACGGAACGAAACGGUCUGGGUUAAUACCCCGGGCUAAUGACGGUACCGUAAGAAUAAGUACCGGCUAACUACGUGCCAGCCGCCGCCGUAAGAC